rnacentral:misc_RNA from 1 species
UAAUCUCACCUCUACAACUUUUGUUGUGGAAAGUGGACUUGGGCCUUGUCGUGUGACAACGACUGGCUUGAAAUGGAUGAGUGUACCCUGCUGCUGCAGCGUCUUCAGUGUGAUAAGCAUCUUCACUGAUCAAAGUUCCUUUGGGACACGAUUGCAUGGCAGGCUCUGUGCUUCCAACUGUCUGUUAGACAACCUUGACA